rnacentral:rRNA from 1 species
GACGAACGCUGGCGGCGUGCUUAACACAUGCAAGUCGAACGGAAAGGCCCUGCUUUUGUGGGGUGCUCGAGUGGCGAACGGGUGAGUAACACGUGAGUAACCUGCCCUUGACUUUGGGAUAACUUUAGGAAACUGGGGCUAAUACCGGAUAGGAGCUCCUGCUGCAUGGUGGGGGUUGGAAAGUUUCGGCGGUGGGGGAUGGACUCGCGGCUUAUCAGCUUGUUGGUGGGGUAGUGGCUUACCAAGGCUUUGACGGGUAGCCGGCCUGGGAGGGUGACCGGCCACAUUGGGACUGCGAUACGGCCCAGACUCCUACGGGAGGCAGCAGUGGGGAAUAUUGCACAGUGGGCGGAAGCCUGAUGCAGCAGCGCCGCGUGCGGGAUGACGGCCUUCGGGUUGUAAACCGCUUUCGCCUGUGACGAAGCGUGAGUGACGGUAAUGGGUAAAGAAGCACCGGCUAACUACGUG